CACCCUGGCACCUGGGCCGAGUACCUGGAGGAGUUCAUGGCGGGCAGAGUGGCCUAUGGCUCUUGGCAUGACCACGUGAAGGGCUACUGGGAGCGGAGGAAGGAGCACCCCAUCCUCUACCUCUUCUAUGAGGACAUGAAGGAGGACCCCCGGCGGGAGAUCGGGAAGGUAGCGCAGUUCCUGCAGCAGGACCUGCCA